UAGUCUAAUGAUGACGACUGAUGGCACUCAGUCAUAUAUGCUGAAUUCUGUGUGUCUAGGACUGAGUCUAA
ensembl:snoRNA